rnacentral:rRNA from 1 species
AGCGAACGCUGGCGGCAGGCUUAACACAUGCAAGUCGAGCGGGCCCUUCGGGGUCAGCGGCGGACGGGUGAGUAACGCGUGGGAACGUGCCUUCUGGUCUGGAAUAACCCUGGGAAACUAGGGCUAAUACCGGAUACGCCCUUUUGGGGAAAGGUUUACUGCCGGAAGAUCGGCCCGCGUCUGAUUAGCUAGUUGGUGGGGUAACGGCCUACCAAGGCGACGAUCAGUAGCUGGUCUGAGAGGAUGAUCAGCCACACUGGGACUGAGACACGGCCCAGACUCCUACGGGAGGCAGCAGUGGGGAAUAUUGGACAAUGGGCGCAAGCCUGAUCCAGCCAUGCCGCGUGGGUGAUGAAGGCCUUAGGGUUGUAAAGCUCUUUUAUCCGGGACGAUAAUGACGGUACCGGAGGAAUAAGCCCCGGCUAACUUCGUG